rnacentral:rRNA from 1 species
AUUGAACGCUGGCGGCAUGCUUUACACAUGCAAGUCGAGCGGUAACAGGCCGCAAGGUGUUGACGAGUGGCGAACGGGUGAGUAAUGCAUCGGAACGUGCCCAGUCGUGGGGGAUAACUACUCGAAAGAGUAGCUAAUACCGCAUACGAUCUAUGGAUGAAAGCGGGGGACCGUAAGGCCUCGCGCGAUUGGAGCGGCCGAUGUCAGAUUAGGUAGUUGGUGGGGUAAAGGCUCACCAAGCCAACGAUCUGUAGCUGGUCUGAGAGGACGACCAGCCACACUGGGACUGAGACACGGCCCAGACUCCUACGGGAGGCAGCAGUGGGGAAUUUUGGACAAUGGGCGCAAGCCUGAUCCAGCAAUGCCGCGUGCAGGAAGAAGGCCUUCGGGUUGUAAACUGCUUUUGUACGGAACGAAACGGCUCUGGUUAAUACCCGGGGCUAAUGACGGUACCGUAAGAAUAAGCACCGGCUAACUACGUG